UGGGGAAUUUUGGACAAUGGGGGAAACCCUGAUCCAGCCAUCCCGCGUGUGCGAUGAAGGCCUUCGGGUUGUAAAGCACUUUUGGCAGGAAAGAAACGUCGCGGGUUAAUACCCCGCGAAACUGACGGUACCUGCAGAAUAAGCACCGGCUAACUACGUGCCAGCAGCCGCGGUAAUACGUAGGGUGCAAGCGUUAAUCGGAAUUACUGGGCGUAAAGCGUGCGCAGGCGGUUCGGAAAGAAAGAUGUGAAAUCCCAGAGCUUAACUUUGGAACUGCAUUUUUAACUACCGGGCUAGAGUGUGUCAGAGGGAGGUGGAAUUCCGCGUGUAGCAGUGAAAUGCGUAGAUAUGCGGAGGAACACCGAUGGCGAAGGCAGCCUCCUGGGAUAACACUGACGCUCAUGCACGAAAGCGUGGGGAGCAAACAGGAUUAGAUACCCUGGUAGUCCACGCCCUAAACGAUGUCAACUAGCUGUUGGGGCCUUCGGGCCUUGGUAGCGCGGCUAACGCGUGAAGUUGACCGCCUGGGGAGUACGGUCGCAAGAUUAAAACUCAAAGGAAUU
rnacentral:rRNA from 1 species